CAUCUAGGGUCACCCCUAUGUAGUCUACAGUCUGAGAGGGGACAAGAUGAGAUUUCUUGUAGUUUAUUCGAAGUCCCAAAUUUCGAAGUACAUGAAGUGUGAAUUUUGUGUCUUGUAGAGCCUUGCUUCUGGAUGGUGCGACCACUAGCCAGUCGUCGAUGUAAGGGAAGACUUGGACGCCGUGGAGCCGCAGGUAAGCUGCCACAGGGGCCAUGCACUUUGUAAAUGUCCUGGGAGCUGUUGCCAGGCCAAAUGGAAGGACCUGGUACUAAUAAAUGGUGUCCUGGAAGAUGAACCGAAGGAAUUUUUGAUGACUGGGAUGAAUCGAAAUGUGAAAAUACGCGUCCUUCAAAUCUAUAACUACAAACCAGUCGUUUUGUUUUAGUAGGUGUAUGAUGGAUUCUAAGGUCACCAUGCGGAAUCUGCGGGGACGAAGGUAAGUAUUUAGAAUCCUGAGAUCCAUGAUAGGUCUUAUUCCGCCGCCUUUUUUGGGCACGGCGAAAUACCUGGAGUAAAAACCGUUGAAAACGUCCUUUUUGGGAACUUUUUGGAUGGCAUGUUUUUCCAGCAAGGAUCGAACUUCUACCUGCAAGGAAGGGUCGAAAUACGUAUAUUCUACGUGACCUAAGGGUGGAUAUUCGGUAAACUCCAGACGGUAGCCGGAAUGAACGAUACCAAGGACCCAGGAGUCGGUUGUAACUGUGGACCAAUUGGGAAGACCAGAGGCAUCGAAUGGCAAGUCCUCAAUUAUAGUCUUUACAUCGUCAAGAAUGCUUGCUGAUCGAAGCCAGGCAUGCCUGCGUAAGGUGACUGAGGAUACGAGGAUACGAGCCGCGGCCUCGACAGAGUGGCGAGUAGCGAUCCUCUGAUGUUUGGACACCGUUUGAGCCUCUUCAAAGGUGUUAAGAUAGCCCUGUCUCACAUCAUCAGGCAACAGCUGUAAUCCUGGGAGGCGUUUAAGCCACAGCUGUUUUUAAGCUCUAGAAGAUUCCGAAAGGGACCGACGCU